UACUUUUUGAUUUCAGUCUUUUCCAGUUUAAAAAAUACCAAAAAAGGAAAAGGGCCUGAAGCAACAGUUUGGGCACCGUGCAUGGUCAGUGCUCAGUAGCGCCCCCUUUGGCAGGUAUCAUCUAAACACUUUGUGGAUCCAGCUCAGAGUCUCUCAGUUCUUGUUUGGAGGAUUUUCAGCCAUUCUUCCUGCAAAAGGCUUCUAGCUCUGUGAGAUUCUUGGGCCGUCUUCAUGCUCUGCUCUUUGAGCUCUAUCCACAAAUGUUUAAUGAUGUUUAGGUCGGGGGGCUGUGAGGGGCGUGGCCAAACCUUCAGCUGGCUCCUCUUGAGGUCGUCCAUUGUGGAUCUGGAGGUGUGUUUAGGAUCAUUGUCCUGUUGUAGAAGCCAUCCUCUCUUCAUCUGCAGCUUUUUUACAGAUGCUGUGAUGUCUGGAAUUUAACUGAAUCCAUUCUUCCCUCUACCUGUGAAAUGUUCCCCGUGCCACUGGCUGCAACACAAGCCCAAAGCAUCAUCCAUCCACCCCCGUGUUUAACAGUUUGUUCUCCAAACAUACCUUUGCUCAUUGUGUCCACAAAGUUCUGUUUUACCUUCAUCAGUCCACAGGACUUGUUUCCAAAAAGCAUCAGGCUUGUUCACAUGUUCCUUUGCAAACUUGUGAGGCUGAAUGUUGUGGUGAGGACACAGGAAAGGUUUUCUUCUGAUGACUCUUCCAUGAAGCUCAUAUUUGUCCAGGUGUGUCUGCACACAAUAAUAAUUUUUUUAUAAAAAGAAAAUCCAUGAUAAUACACAAUAAAUGCAAGAUUAAAAGAAGUUGUCUAUCUGAUAUGUAUUUGUAGAAAUUAAAAAUAAAAUCACAAGGCAGAGAGCUGUAUGAAGCGAGCUAAUCCUGUCUUUUCCCUUUUAACAGAACAGUGAGUAAUCAGAUUUUUUAUUUAAUGUGGUUUAGAAAGGGAUCCCAUACUUAAUCAAGGAUCUCAAUGGAGCCCUUUAAUGAGUAUUUUAUUUCCUCUUAUUGAGAUAGUACAGUACGUCUUUGAUCCAGUGAGUAAAGGAAGAUGGGUGUGCAUGUUUCCCUUUUAAGGCUUCGUGCAAAUAACGAAGGAAAAGUGAUACAGUUGGCUUCAGUCUUACAUAUCAUGCAGGGUUAUGCAGAGGUUAAAGGUCACUGGUUUUGUUCAGAGAUUCUGAGAUGAGGGACCAAACAUCUUGAGGCACAGCACAGGACCAGAACACUGGGGCAUGAGUAGUGGGAGAUAUGUUGCAAUGAUUUCAUGACAAGCUAACGUCUGGGAAGUAUUUAGACAUUUCCUGUAUUUUCCAGUGGGUGUGAUGCAGAAUAUUACAUUUCAUUAUGCCAUGCCUGGCCCAGAUUAAAGAGGCAUGGACUCUUUUUAAGAUCGACUGUUAUAAUUCCUCUGUAAUAACUUUACAGUGCUUCACAUGGGUUGCAUGAAGGUAGGGCAGGAAUCUGGGGCAGAACUGUAUGUACCAACUAAGUCUGACAGAUUACGAAGGAAACUGACAGUUUUCUGGAGAUUAAAUUUACUGCGGAGUAGUUCAAAUGAGGAAAACAUCCCAUCUGAGUGCAGAUCAAUAAAAGCGUUAAUGCUUGUUUUCUGUCAAUGUAUGAAUGUCUUAUCUCUGGGAUGUUAAAGAGAAGGACGACCGUCAAAAAUGAUUUCGUAUCUGCGUCCAGAUUUCAGUGGUUGACUUCACAGUUUCAUUUUUGGUGAAACCUGCUGAUAAUAAUAUCAGGCAUGACAAUGAUUUAAGAGUGUGUUGUGAAGUGUAUCUGCUCCAGGAUCUUCAUAUAGCCACUUUAUUAGGUACACCUUGCUAGUACCAGGUUGGACCCCCUUUUAAUUCUUGGUGUCACAGAUUCAACAAGGUGCUGGAAACAUUGCUCAGAGAUGUUGGUCCAUAUUGACAUGAUGACAUCACACAGUUGCUGCACAUCCAUGAUGAGAAUCUCCCGUUCCAGCACAUCCCAAAGGUGCUCUAUUGGACUGAGAUCUGGUGACUGUGGAGGCCAUUGGAGUACAGUGAACUCAUUGUCAUGUUUGAGAUGAUGUGAGCUUUGUGACAUGGUGCGUUAUCCUGCUGGAAGUAGCCAUCAGAAGAUGGGUACACUGUGGUCAUAAAGGGAUGGACACGCUCAGCAACAAUACUCAGGUAAGCUGUGGAAGCGUCCAAUGGGGAGAUCAAACAGGAGAGGUGACAUGCAGCAAGUCUUUUCUUUAAUUUUCCAGCACCAUGUUCUCAGGCACCAACAACACCAGACACAGACUGACUGGCUUUUAUACCUUUCCUGGCAUGUACCAAAAAUAACAAUGAAAGUCACCUGAAUAAAUAUACAAUAAAUAUUUACAUAAGACCAUCACCAAACCAUAAAUACAUCAGCAAUAAAUGUAUACAAACCAAAACCCAUUACUUAAAUAACCCUAAAUAAUUUACGUCAAUAUUUACACAUGUACACAAAACUAAAACUCCCCUCUGCCUGCCUCCUACUUGGUUUCUCCCUCCUGGAACUAAUUAAAGGUGCUGGAACACAGUGGGAACUCUUUUGCCCGAACACGGUCAGGAAAGAGGAAGAAGACAGGCAGAGCUCAUUACUUCAGAGAUGAACCCACAGGACCUUCAGUUCCUGGAUUAGCAAACACAGACUGUCUGGAUGUGAUUCAGCUGGAGUAUUUUAAAAAGCAGGAGAACUGACUUUACAGCUGGAACAGCACUCCAGU